rnacentral:lncRNA from 1 species
GUUUAAUCAAGAAAGAAGAAUAAAAACAAAAGCCUGCUAUACUCUGAAUGUCAAAAUGGAAAGAGCCUAUGUAAAGUUCUAUGUAAUAGAUUUAUUUUAACAAGGUGCCAAAGUACUGUAUGUUUAAGAAAUUUAUCAUUUUUCAACUUCCUAAUUUAUUUCUGGAUGGUGACAUUUUAAUUUAAAUAAACAGCAGCUGACAGCAUGACACUGGAGUUGUUAAUCCAACUAUUCUUGUGCCUCAUGUGGGUGUUAGGAAUUAAACUUACUAUUUGCCAAGCAGCUUACCUGACAAAAGUCAGAUUUUUUUUUCCUAAAGAAAGGAGUAGCACUGUAGCUCUGUUUUUUUAAGAAAAAAAAAAAUAUUGCAAAAGAUGAAUGUGUUACCUUCCCAUAAAACUGUGGGCAUUUCCCCCCUAGACUUGUCUCAUGUAUCUGAAGGACUAGAAUUGUGUCCAUCUACCAAAAUCUGACACUCCCCACACACAAUAAAGCUAAAAUCCUAAUAAUAAAACUGAUUAAUUUUUAAACAUAUAGACAUCGUGUCCUUGUCAAAAUAUUCAGUUUAGAAAUCAUACACUUCUCUUCAUAAUAUUCUAAUGAUAAUAUAUAUGUUUCUUAACUUUACCAUAUGGACUUGGCCUUUAUCAAUCAUAUUUUUG